GACGAACUGUCCUAACGUUGUUCGGAAUUACUGGGCGUAAAGGGCGCGUAGGCGGCCCGCUAAGUCGAACGUGAAAUCCCCGAGCUCAACUCGGGAACUGCGUCCGAUACUGGCGGGCUUGAAUCCGGGAGAGGGAUGCGGAAUUCCAGGUGUAGCGGUGAAAUGCGUAGAUAUCUGGAGGAACACCGGUGGCGAAGGCGGCAUCCUGGACCGGCAUUGACGCUGAGGCGCGAAAGCUAGGGGAGCAAACGGG
rnacentral:rRNA from 1 species